UGCACUUGUAACGAAGAGUCGCGUCAAGUAUCAUUAUACCAUUUUUGCUGCCUUGACUUUUCAAGUUGCAAUUAGGAACUGCAAUAGUGAACAUUGAGGGACACGAGUGAAAGACAGAAAAACUGCAAAGUGACACCGAAAUAGGUGGUCCAGCUGUUGUCAGUCUGGUCUUCUCAAAGAUCAAGAAUGUUAUGCAAACAUAGAUCUGGAAAUUCCCGCCUUUGAAAAUCAUUUCUUGGUCUUCUCGGGGAGGCGACCCCACUACGCUCGGAUCACGCCACCAUUCGCGCCUAUCAUCACAUAUGCCGCAUUCUUUUGAAACAACAGACCGAAAUCGACGUUUUUGGAAGUCGCUGCUUGGCGACAACUAUGCGCUCGUCGAUACAUUGUAUGCUGCUCGUCGGGUAGAUAAGGUGAUCCGCCAGCGACAUUAUAGGACCGCAAGCGACAUCCAGAAACGCGACCCAUACUAAAAUCUCGCAGCGUAAUAAAGCGUACACCUCCCUCUUUUUUUGAUACUACAUAUAUAUGUAUUAUACAUAAAUAUUAUAUUAUGUUACCAAUGAA
rnacentral:lncRNA from 1 species